GCGCAAGGCCCUGGGUUCGAUCCCCAGCUCCGAAAAAAAGAACCAAAAAAAAAAAAAAUGACCUCAGAGUUCUGUACAAACAUUAAAUGGUUCAUCAUAAAAUGCUUGCAGCACUGCCUGGGACGAGACGUUCUCCUAAAUGUCUGCCUCCCGCAAAGCCAAAUAGACAGGCCAGAAUUCGGCCUAACGAAAGAGGAAGGGCACGCAUAUGCAAAGCGUCUUAGAAGAGAUUUUGAAUCUCCUGGAAGCCUUUUCAAGAUGAAAACAGCAUCCAGUUCCAAGGCUAGAAGGAAAGGAUUUUCCUUUGCCGUGUGAUUUUACAAGGCCGCUGAGAGCAAGCCUUCAGCCGGAGUGGGAUCUCUGGACAGCCAGCCAGACACCGCGUCUCUUCACUGCUCAGUCUUUACAGAUGGGAGGCUGCCCGGCCUUAUAGACGCCACAAACUGAAACGCACAGUAAGCGUGCAGGCUCUAGACAGGGGCUGGAGCCCCAGCAGGGUCUCAACCCCGUCUAAACUCCCGAAGGCAGCGAAUAGAGGACAGGCGGCGCCCACCCCUACGCGGUCUAGCCGGCGUCCCCCCGCCCUUCCGCCCGGCCAGGAUAGUUCGGGACAACCGCUACUCUGUGUGGAGAAAUGGACUGCGUCAGACUGUCUGCACCAGCUGAUGAUGAUUUGCUUCACGCUCUAGCAGAGCCGAGUCAAGCCUUCCUCCAUCCUGGCACAAGGCACAAGAGAGCUCUCUGAAGAGGAAAUAAAGGCCAUCUCUAGAGUCCUGAGGCAGGUGAGUUGAUGAACCAAGAAUCUGAGCAAAACCUACCUGAAGCCAGCUGGUCUAUGAGGUAUCUGAGGCACAGUUAAGUCUCUCUAGCAUCAUUCUACUCUUAAGGCAAAGAAGAUUUUAGGGGAACUUCUAUGUCUCCUCGGGAGCAAAGGAGAUGACAGAAAACACUGUAUCAAUGACAGGGUCUGAGCAGGACUGGUGGAGCUUAGAGAAGCUAAUGGGGGGACAUGUGUGAGCUCAAAACAUCUGAUCCCAGGUAACUUGACUGUGUGUCAUAACCCUGUCUCUGCCAGCCGAAUGGUCCAUAGCUGUCCCCCACAAGCAUCCCUUAGCCAAAACCAGACAUCUUUGCACUCCAAAAUAGCCCACUCCAGGCACUGUCGUUUCUAUCUCAUAUUUGAAUAUCUCCCAACUCACCU
rnacentral:sRNA from 1 species